CUCAGAACGAACGCUGGCGGCAAGCCUAACACAUGCAAGUCGAACGGACAAUUAUUUAUAGCCUCUGGCUAUAGGAAAUUGUUAGUGGCAGACGGGUGAGUAAUGCGUAGGAAUCUACCUAGUAGUGCGGAAUAUCCAUUAGAAAUGGUGGGUAAUACUGUAAAAUCCCCGAGGGGGAAAGAAUUAGCGCUAUUAGAUGAGACUACGUUAGAAUAGCUAGUUGGUGAGGUAAUGGCUUACCAAGGCUUUGAUCUAUAGCUGGUCUGAGAGCACGAUUAGCCACAUUGGAACUGAGAUACGGUCCAGACUCCUACGGGAGGAAGCAGUGGGGAAUAUUGGACAAUGGGCGAAAGCCUGAUCGUCCAGACUCCUACGGGAGGAAGCAGUGGGGAAUAUUGGACAAUGGGCGAAAGCCUGAUCUUAUGAGGGUACCUAUAGAAGAAGUCCCGGCAAACUCUGUGCCAGCAGCCGCGGUAAUACGGAGGGGGCA
rnacentral:rRNA from 1 species